rnacentral:rRNA from 1 species
AACGAACGCUGGCGGCAGGCCUAACACAUGCAAGUCGAGCGAGGACUUCGGUCCUAGCGGCGGACGGGUGAGUAACGCGUGGGAACGUGCCCUUUGCUUCGGAAUAGCCCUGGGAAACUGGGAGUAAUACCGGAUGAGCCCUUGGGGGGAAAGAGUUAUCGGCGAAGGAUCGGCCCGCGUUGGAUUAGGUAGUUGGUGGGGUAAUGGCCUACCAAGCCGACGAUCCAUAGCUGGUUUGAGAGGAUGAGCAGCCACACUGGGACUGAGACACGGCCCAGACUCCUACGGGAGGCAGCAGUGGGGAAUCUUAGACAAUGGGGGAAACCCUGAUCGAGCCAUGCCGCGUGAGCGAUGAAGGCCUUAGGGUUGUAAAGCUCUUUCAGCUGGGAAGAUAAUGACGGUACCAGCAGAAGAAGCCCCGGCUAACUCCGUG